UACGGAGGGUGCAAGCGUUAUCCGGAUUCACUGGGUUUAAAGGGUGCGUAGGCGGCCAAUUAAGUCAGCGGUGAAAUCCUGCAGCUCAACUGCAGAACUGCCGUUGAUACUGGUUGGCUUGAGUUCGGUAGAGGCGGGCGGAACUCAUGGUGUAGCGGUGAAAUGCAUAGAUACCAUGAAGAACUCCGAUUGCGAAGGCAGCUCGCUGUGCCUGUGACUGACGCUGAGGCACGAAAGCGUGGGGAGCGAACAGG
rnacentral:misc_RNA from 1 species